CGUGGGAGCGAGCCUGCUCGCGAAGCGGUGUGUCAGCUUGCACAAGUAUUGUAUGUAACGCCGCUAUCGCGAGCAGGCUCGCUCCCACA
rnacentral:misc_RNA from 1 species